CGUUGAAACGUUCUUGCUAAGUUGGUUUCUAUUGAAAUACUAUCGGAGGAUUGUAUUUGAAAAAAAUUUUAUUCACUUUGAUCGUUAUAGGUGGAUUAUCCUACUAGUUGCAAGAAUGGCGUGAAUUACUGCGGAUAGAAGAACAAAAAAUAUCCGGAUAUACGCUCCGUUUGAUCGCAACGCACAUGCUGAUGUUAAUUAUUUGAAAUCAUUCCUUAUCGUCGAUAUGGCUACUACUACGAUAACCAUAAACUUCAAAGAUAUGAUCGUACCAAAGAAAAACUAAAUCGGUUAUCGGUUCACCCUAUAUAUCUGUUGUUACUCACGGAAACAUGAUGAAAAGUUGAUAAAAUUAAAGCGACCGGAAAAGGUAAUAAAAAUGUCACCAUGAAGAAUGCUAAUAAGCAGGAAGCAGAAAAGAAAUAAUAAACUGCGUAAGCACCGAGUAUGUCGCCGAUCACUUGAUAAAGUUUAGACACUGCAAAACCAAGGACACCGUCG